GGACCUUGCAACAAGGGGGGGAUGGACGGAUAGGAUUGGAGAUGUACACACCAAGGGCAAGACCGACAAUUCACCCGCGCACUUUCCAUUUCUAGGCGUCCGUCGUCCUCGACCAUAUCGCUUCUUCUUCUAACUGGCUACUUUACUAACCUUACGGGGUCUCCAUUUCUUCUCAAUUACAGUGUUCUGUUCACUCAAAGAGCUGUGAGUGUAUUUUCUUUUUUCUAUGUUUUCUUGACGAUCUUGAUUCCACUUUCCCUGCCUUCAAUUUACAUUUCCUCUGAUUUAUCACUUGCAGUUCAUAAUUGUGGUUUCACUUUCACUUACCCUUUUUUUCAGCUAAAGGGAUUAUUUUUUCCUGACUCGUGAUGUCCGACUCCGAUCCUUUUCGCCUUUUUUCAGAUCAAGUAGGAGAGUAUGCUCCGGAGUAAGAAUUUUUUGUCUUGAUCUCCGACCCCAUUCCUAUUUCUUAGAUUUACUUAGUUAUUUUCGAUAUUAUUGCAUAAAAAACUCAUCUUUUUUUUUUCCAGUGCAGUAGAAUGAAACCCAGCAUGUGAUUAAUUGGCUAGAUUGGAUUUUAUGUGUAUAUUGAUACUUCUUUAAUUAUGGAAUGUAGAUGAUCCACAACUGCUGAAUAUUUAAAUAAUGUCAUAUAUACUGUAAAACUGCUUACAAAAUAAUUAGGUUUUUUGUAUAUCCUGAAAUUAGUGAUGAUCCAAUCAUUUACUUCCGUUAUUUGAUUGUUGCGCUAUGUUUGAAGUUUGAUUGUUUUUUUUUUAUCAGUGGCUACGGCUCACCAGUCUCAAUGGGUGGUCAGCAGAAUGUGCAAUUUGAGCUGAAUGAGCAAUUUGAGCUGAACGAACAAUUUGUGCAGAAUGAUCAAAUUGUGCAAAAUGAUGUCCCCAAUGAAAGUAAUGGUGGCGCAAUUCAGGUAGAGGAG
rnacentral:misc_RNA from 1 species